AAACAGAUGCUAAUACCGCAUAACAACUUGGACCGCAUGGUCCGAGCUUGAAAGAUGGCUUCNGCUAUCACUUUUGGAUGGUCCCGCGGCGUAUUAGCUAGAUGGUGGGGUAACGGCUCACCAUGGCAAUGAUACGUAGCCGACCUGAGAGGGUAAUCGGCCACAUUGGGACUGAGACACGGCCCAAACUCCUACGGGAGGCAGCAGUAGGGAAUCUUCCACAAUGGACGAAAGUCUGAUGGAGCAACGCCGCGUGAGUGAAGAAGGGUUUCGGCUCGUAAAACUCUGUUGUUAAAGAAGAACAUAUCUGAGAGUAACUGUUCAGGUAUUGACGGUAUUUAACCAGAAAGCCACGGCUAACUACGUGCCAGCAGCCGCGGUAAUACGUAGGUGGCAAGCGUUGUCCGGAUUUAUUGGGCGUAAAGCGAGCGCAGGCGGUUUUUUAAGUCUGAUGUGAAAGCCUUCGGCUCAACCGAAGAAGUGCAUCGGAAACUGGGAAACUUGAGUGCAGAAGAGGACAGUGGAACUCCAUGUGUAGCGGUGAAAUGCGUAGAUAUAUGGAAGAACACCAGUGGCGAAGGCGGCUGUCUGGUCUGUAACUGACGCUGAGGCUCGAAAGUAUGGGUAGCAAACAGGAUUAGAUACCCUGGUAGUCCAUACCGUAAACGAUGAAUGCUAAGUGUUGGAGGGUUUCCGCCCUUCAGUGCUGCAGCUAACGCAUUAAGCAUUCCGCCUGGGGAGUACGGCCGCAAGGCUGAAACUCAAAGGAAUUGACGGGGGCCCGCACAAGCGGUGGAGCAUGUGGUUUAAUUCGAAGCUACGCGAAGAACCUUACCAGGUCUUGACAUACUAUGCAAAUCUAAGAGAUUAGACGUUCCCUUCGGGGACAUGGAUACAGGUGGUGCAUGGUUGUCGUCAGCUCGUGUCGUGAGAUGUUGGGUUAAGUCCCGCAACGAGCGCAACCCUUAUUAUCAGUUGCCAGCAUUAAGUUGGGCACUCUGGUGAGACUGCCGGUGACAAACCGGAGGAAGGUGGGGAUGACGUCAAAUCAUCAUGCCCCUUAUGACCNGGGCUACACACGUGCUACAAUGGAUGGUACAACGAGUUGCGAACUCGCGAGAGUAAGCUAAUCUCUUAAAGCCAUUCUCAGUUCGGAUUGUAGGNUGCAACUCGCCUACAUGAAGUCGGAAUCGCUAGUAAUCCGCGGAUCAGCAUUGCCGCGGUGAAUACGUUCCCGGGCUCUUG
rnacentral:rRNA from 1 species